rnacentral:rRNA from 1 species
AGCGGCGGACGGGUGAGUAACACGUGGGUAACCUGCCUCAAAGUGGGGGAUAGCCUUCCGAAAGGAAGAUUAAUACCGCAUAAAGCCAAGUUUCACAUGGAAUUUGGAUGAAAGGAGUAAUUCGCUUUGAGAUGGACCCGCGGCGCAUUAGUUAGUUGGUGGGGUAAUGGCCUACCAAGACAGCGAUGCGUAGCCGACCUGAGAGGGUGAUCGGCCACAUUGGAACUGAGAUACGGUCCAGACUCCUACGGGAGGCAGCAGUGGGGAAUAUUGCACAAUGGGCGAAAGCCUGAUGCAGCAACGCCGCGUGAGUGAUGAAGGUCUUCGGAUUGUAAAGCUCUGUCUUUUGGGACGAUAAUGACGGUACCAAAGGAGGAAGCCACGGCUAACUACGUGCCAGCAGCCGCGGUAAUACGUAGGUGGCGAGCGUUGUCCGGAUUUACUGGGCGUAAAGGGUGCGUAGGCGGAUGUUUAAGUGAGAUGUGAAAUACCCGGGCUUAACUUGGGUGCUGCAUUUCAAACUGGAUAUCUAGAGUGCAGGAGAGGAGAAUGGAAUUCCUAGUGUAGCGGUGAAAUGCGUAGAGAUUAGGAAGAACACCAGUGGCGAAGGCGAUUCUCUGGACUGUAACUGACGCUGAGGCACGAAAGCGUGGGUAGCAAACAGGAUUAGAUACCCUGGUAGUCCACGCCGUAAACGAUGAGUACUAGGUGUAGGAGGUAUCGACCCCUUCUGUGCCGCAGUAAACACAUUAAGUACUCCGCCUGGGAAGUACGAUCGCAAGAUUAAAACUCAAAGGAAUUGACGGGGGCCCGCACAAGCAGCGGAGCAUGUGGUUUAAUUCGAAGCAACGCGAAGAACCUUACC